GACAGAGGGUGCAAACGUUGCUCGGAAUUACUGGGCGUAAAGCGCGUGUAGGUGGCUUGUUAAGUCGGGUGUGAAAUCCCUCGGCUCAACCGAGGAAGUGCAUUCGAUACUGGCAAGCUCGAGUACCGGAGAGGGUCGUGGAAUUCCUGGUGUAGAGGUGAAAUUCGUAGAUAUCAGGAGGAACACCGGCGGCGAAGGCGGCGACCUGGACGAGUACUGACACUCAGACGCGAAAGCGUGGGGAGCAAACAGG
rnacentral:rRNA from 1 species